rnacentral:rRNA from 1 species
GACGAACGCUGGCGGCGUGCUUAACACAUGCAAGUCGAACGAAGUGGCGAACGGGUGAGUAAUACGUGAGUAACCUGCCCUCCUUUUUGGGAUAAGCCUUGGAAACGGGGUCUAAUACCGACUAAAGGGGGUUGGGCUCGCGGGCUAUCAGCUCGGAGGUGGGGUGAGGGCAUACCAAGGCGACGACGGGUAGCCGGCCUGGGAGGGUGACCAGCCACAUGGCGACUGAGAUACGGACCAGACGCGUACGGGAGGCAACGGUUGGGAGUAUGGCACAGUGAGGCAAACCCUGAUGCGGCGAGGCUGCGUGCGGGAUGACGGCCUUCGGGUUGUAAACCGCUUUCAGCCAUGACGCGGUAGUGGCAGAAGAAGCACCGGCUAACUACGUGCCAGCAGCCGCGGUAAUAC